AUGAACGCUGGCCGCGUGCCUAAUUCCUGCAAGUCGAGCGAACAGAUGAGGAGCUUGCUCCUCUGACGUUAGCGGCGGACGGGUGAGUAACACGUGGAUAACCUACCUAUAAGACUGGGAUAACUUCGGGAAACCGGAGCUAAUACCGGAUAAUAUAUUUAACCGCAUGGUUCAAUAGUGAAAGACGGUUUUGCUGUCACUUAUAGAUGGAUCCGCGCCGCAUUAGCUAGUUGGUAAGGUAACGGCUUACCAAGGCAACGAUGCGUAGCCGACCUGAGAGGGUGAUCGGCCACACUGGAACUGAGACACGGUCCAGACUCCUACGGGAGGCAGCAGUAGGGAAUCUUCCGCAAUGGGCGAAAGCCUGACGGAGCAACGCCGCGUGAGUGAUGAAGGUCUUCGGAUCGUAAAACUCUGUUAUUAGGGAAGAACAAAUGUGUAAGUAACUAUGCACGUCUUGACGGUACCUAAUCAGAAAGCCACGGCUAACUACGUG
rnacentral:rRNA from 1 species